GUAUUUGCUUUGGCAACACAUAUACUAAAAUUGGAAUGAUACAAAGAUUAGCAUGCCCAUGUGCAAGGAUGACUCCUAAAUUCAUGAAGCAUUCCAUUUUUUC
ensembl:snRNA U6 U6 spliceosomal RNA